UUCGUAGGGGGCAAGCGUUGUCCGGAAUCAUUGGGCGUAAAGCGCGUGUAGGCGGCUUGGUAAGUCCGCUCUGAAAGCCCGGGGCUCAACCCCGGGAGGCGGGUGGAUACUGUCAAGCUCGAGUCCGGAAGAGGCGAGUGGAAUUCCUGGUGUAGCGGUGAAAUGCGCAGAUAUCAGGAGGAACACCAAUGGCGAAGGCAGCUCGCUGGGACGUGACUGACGCUGAGACGCGAAAGCGUGGGGAGCAAACAGG
rnacentral:rRNA from 1 species